rnacentral:rRNA from 1 species
GACGAACGCUGGCGGCGCGCCUAACACAUGCAAGUCGAACGGAGCUGCGAGAAGCUUGCUUUUCUUAGCUUAGUGGCGCACGGGUGAGUAACGCGUGAGUAACCUGCCCUGGAGUGGGGGACAACAGUUGGAAACGACUGCUAAUACCGCAUAAGCCCACGAUCCGGCAUCGGAUUGAGGGAAAAGGAUUUAUUCGCUUCAGGAUGGACUCGCGUCCAAUUAGCUAGUUGGUGAGGUAACGGCCCACCAAGGCGACGAUUGGUAGCCGGACUGAGAGGUUGAACGGCCACAUUGGGACUGAGACACGGCCCAGACUCCUACGGGAGGCAGCAGUGGGGGAUAUUGCACAAUGGGGGAAACCCUGAUGCAGCGACGCCGCGUGGAGGAAGAAGGUUUUCGGAUUGUAAACUCCUGUCGUUAGGGACGAUAAUGACGGUACCUAACAAGAAAGCACCGGCUAACUACGUG